rnacentral:rRNA from 1 species
AUUGAACGCUGGCGGAAUGCUUUACACAUGCAAGUCGAACGGUAGAGGGGGCAACCCCUUGAGAGUGGCGAACGGGUGAGUAAUAUAUCGGAACGUGCCCAGUCGUGGGGAUAACGUAGCGAAAGUUACGCUAAUACCGCAUACGAUCUAAGGAUGAAAGCGGGGGAUCGCAAGACCUCGCGCGAUUGGAGCGGCCGAUAUCAGAUUAGGUAGUUGGUGGGGUAAAGGCUCACCAAGCCAACGAUCUGUAGCUGGUCUGAGAGGACGACCAGCCACACUGGAACUGAGACACGGUCCAGACUCCUACGGGAGGCAGCAGUGGGGAAUUUUGGACAAUGGACGCAAGUCUGAUCCAGCCAUUCCGCGUGCAGGAUGAAGGCCCUCGGGUUGUAAACUGCUUUUGUACGGAACGAAAGGUUUCUCUUAAUACGAGGAGCUCAUGACGGUACCGUAAGAAUAAGCACCGGCUAACUACGUGCCAGCAGCCGCGGU